CAGCAGCCACGGGAAUACGUAGGUGGCAAGCGUUGUCCGGAAUUAUUGGGCGUAAAGGGUGCGUAGGCGGUUCAGUAAGUCUUGUGUGAAAGCCCCCGGCUCAACCGGGGAGGGUCAUUGGAAACUGGGAAACUUGAGUGCAGAAGAGGAGAGUGGAAUUCCACGUGUAGCGGCGAAAUGCGUAGAGAUGUGGAGGAACACCAGUGGCGAAGGCGACUCUCUGGUCUGUAACUGACGCUGAGGAGCGAAAGCGUGGGGAGCGGACAGGAUUAGAUACCCGUGUAGUCCCUGUCUCUUAUAA
rnacentral:rRNA from 1 species